rnacentral:lncRNA from 10 species
UCUAAAAUCGACUAGAAGGCUGGAGGAGUGUUAUGGGGGAAUGAUUUUGCAGGGGAGUCAUUUUCAGAAAGCUCAGGUUUCAUUUGCAAACAAAUGAACUGACACCCCUUGAAAUUUGUUGACUCUGUUUGCAGCCAUGAGACAAGCUCAGAGUGUGAGAUGCACAGUUUUUCCAGAGUUCCAACACCUGGAGCAGAAUUAUCACUGUCCAGAUGAUGACCAAAACAAGAAUAAUCCAGCACUGUAAAGGAAAUUUUCAAGGUAGGUAAUUUAUUAGACCCAAGGAAAACACAAACACACCACAUAUUAGAAGAUGCUGACAAAGGGGAAAUAGUCUUGCAAAGCUAGAAAGAAAGUGGUGGACCCUGCCCAGGAGAACAGGGGCACUGUGUUCUUGUUUGAGGAGACAUCAGGAAGAGGAAAUCUCCAUGAAUCUUUUCAGGGUCAAGCUGUCCUAAAAAUUUCUUUUUUGAAUUUUUGUGGGUACCUAGUCAUGUAUAUAUUUCUGGGGUACAUGAGAUAUUUUGAUACAGGCAUAUAAUGUUUAAUAAUCACAUCAAGGUAAAUGGAAUAUCCAUCACGUCAAAUAUUUAUCCUUUUUGUUACAAACAAUGCAAUUAUACUCUUAUAGUUAUUUUUAAAAGUGCGAUUAGAUUAUUAUUGACUAUAGUCACCCUAUUGUGCUAUCAAAUACUAGAUCUUAUCAUUCAUUCGGACUUGCAUCUAUUUUUUUUGUACCCAUUAAUCAUCCUCACUCUCCCACCUUAGCAACACCUCUCAACUACCCUUCCCAGCCUCUAAAUGAUCAUCCUUCUAACUCUCUAUCUCUCAAGUCAACUUUUUGGCAUCCCUCCACCUGCCAGAAGCUUGUCCAUGCCAGGUUAUAACAUACCACUAAAGAGAAAGAAAAGAUUUUCUUGUUGAAAAGUACAAGCAGCCCUGAACAAUGACUACAUUUUCCAUUCUCCCUAGAUGUGCCUGGGUGACUAUGCUGGCCAAUGGAACAUAACUUGAAACGGCAUGUGUGAUUUCUGGAAAACAUCUCUAAAGUGAGGGGCAUACGCUUCUUUACCCCUUCUCUGGCUGGAACGCAGCUGUGGGGGCUGGGUGAAUAGUGAUCUUUCCCAUGAGGUGGAAGUUACAGUUUGAGGAUUAGAGAAACAAAAGAUAAAGGUUCUGACCUACAGCGGAGUGCCAUAUCCGCCCUGGAUGUGCACCUCUGCAUUUUGUUUAGUCGAGAGAAAAAUAGACCUUUAUC